GGCUUGGCUAUGUUCCAAUAAAACUUUAUUUACAAAGAGUUGGUGGGCUAGAUUUGGCCAACCCAUGGCCUAGAAUGUAAAGGGUAUUUUCAUGUUAUAUUAUAGGUUCAAACCCUAUCCUCUGGCCAUCCUGAAGCAUGGCAUGAACAAACUUGUUUUCUGGGAGGUUAAUUGUUAUGUCAUCAUGCAGGCACAAUGGGAGUGGAGAUGGACAUUAGGACAAUGGUGCUGGAUCUAAGCAUAGCUUAUCGGUGAAGCUCAUUUGAAUACUUUUCCUAUAACCGUGUCAUGACUAAUUGCUGGCUUUUGGACCUCAGUCUUUCCUUGUCGGGUUUCAUUGUGGGGGCCAUCUUGCUUUGUGGGAUUGUUGAGGACCCAAGACUUCUCUGCCUCCUCAAGGUAUCACCUGUUGACCCUGAGAUUCACAUUGCUGCAGACAUUGAGCCUGAAGACUCACAGGAGGUGGGGAGGAGGCGGAGAAGCAGGAGAAUGAAGAAGAAUGAGAGACUGCGACUUGUGGAUGAAGGCAACCCUUUCACUCCUCCUCCACUUUCAUGCUGCAGAGCCUGGAGGGGAGACAAGCCCACAGGCUGGCUGGCUAAUCAGAAUAAGACAUUUAACAUUUUUUGAGAGUUCAAGCAUCUCUUCAUCUGUGAAGACUUCACUGAUUCCAAAAGCAAAACCUCUGAGCUCCUUUCCUGUCCUCCCGUUACUCAUGGCCCCCUUAGAGCACUUUUCUCGCUGGAUGAUAAUUAUCUGGCCUCCUCUUGAGGCUGUGAGCUCUCCAGAACAGGGGCAGUGUCUUUUCAUCUAUGUAUUCUCAGUGCCAGCUCAAGACACACAACCACUGGACAUUUAAUAAGUAUUUGUCGAAUAAAAGAUUAA
rnacentral:lncRNA from 1 species